UAAUUAAUUAUUUUGCAGUGUCUAUAAAGGUUUGCACAAAUCCAAAGGUUUGAUGAAUGAGAUUAACCAAAUUGCAGUGUCUAUUAAGCUGUCUCUUUUCUUUUUUCCUAAAUGUUUACUCAUUCUUGCAGGACACGAUUGUGAGUACCAUAACAUGCAAUUGUCAGUAUCUUGCUCAGCAUAACCGACAGGUUUCCUUUUCAUAACUAUUUGAUUUGGGCAUAUGAGUUAUUAAUUUGAAAUUCGACAACUUUUGAUGAUUGAUUUCAGGGACAAAAGCUUUAUCUAUUGACUUAUCCAACUUUCCAGUCUUGUCGGUACAAAUUGCAUUUACUCUUCUUGUGUUUCCUUACCUUCUUUUAGCCUAUUUUAGACAGGCGGCUUAUUAGGUGCAGAACUUCCAUCAUUCUCCAGAUGUUUUUUAUCACUCUAUUCCAAAUCGCCAUGAACCCUAUCAACACAGUCUUUGAAAAUUGGAAAGAAAAGGGAAAUAGAAGCAAAAGAGGAGAAGAGCAAAGAACGUAAAAGAGCGGAGAAAGAGGAAGAAGAAGAAUCAAGAAUUUUGGCUAAGAUUGAAGAGUAGCGACAUUGUGCUUUGGUGAGGAUAGCUUGUAUGCUAGUCCGUUAGUUUUCGCGUCGGUGUCAUGCUCUAGUCUUGUAACACUGGGG